UGGGAGACUGAUACAUGAGCGGUCCUGAGCAGUGACCCGCCCAUCACAAGCUCUCCCUAUAUCAUACCUGCUCUCUGAUGACCGGUGCGAAAUGAGAGAAAUCGCCACGGACAGAUACGGAGCAGACAAGC